rnacentral:rRNA from 1 species
GGCCAUACCAUCCUGAAUGCGCCCAAUCUCGUCUGAUCUCAGAAGCUAAGCAGGGUCGGGCCUGGUUAGUACUUCGAUGGGUGAUAAACAGAUUUUUUUUUUUUUGGUCUUUUUGAGACAAGGUCUCU